rnacentral:rRNA from 1 species
AUGCCACUCAUCGCUGCCACUUUCAUGGCCCUUGCCUUGUGCUUCGCCCCGGCAGUGGGUGCGGCGGCGACGCUCUCGGCGGGGCGUCCGCUGCGGGGCAACGACACGCUGGUCUCCGCACAGGGCAGGUUCGAGCUCGGCCUCUUCAGCCCGGCCGGCAGCUCCGACGGCAGGUUCUACCUCGGGAUCUGGUACAAGGACAUCCCCGGCCACACCGUCGUCUGGGUCGGCAACCGCGCGAGCCCUCUGUCCGGCCUUGCCUCCGCCGAGCUCCGGGUGUCCGCCGACGACGGCAACCUCGAGCUCGUCGGUCCCACCGGCGCCUCCGCCUCGCCGGUCGUGGUGUGGUCUUCGAACCUCUCGUCUUCCUUGUCGCCAGGCACGAACAACACGGCGGAGAUCCGCCACAACGGCAACCUGGUCCUUGUCGACGGCGCCAACUCCUCCAACGUGCUGUGGCAGAGCUUCGACCACCCCACGGACACGUACCUGCCGGGGGCGCGGCUCGGGGAGAACAAGCUCACCGGCGAGUACCAGGCGCUGACCUCAUGGCGGAACGCCCAGGACCCUGCGCCGGGAAUGUUCUACGACACGCUGGACCCCAACGGCACCGCUGAGUUCUUCAUGCUGUGGAACCGCUCCCGCAUGUACUGGCGGGGCGGCGUCUGGACGGGGGGCCGCUGGAAGGGCGACGUCGGGGCGGCGACCGGAAGGGGCACCAACCUCUACAACACGACCUUCGUCGACACGCCGGCGUUCCGGGGCACCACCACCGUGCUCGCCGACGACGCCACCGUCACGCGCCUGGUGCUCGACCUCAACGGCCAGAAGAAGCAGUUCGUCUGGGUGCCGGCGAGCCGGAGCUGGCAGCUGUUCUGGGCGGCGCCCACCGCCCAGUGCGACGCGUACGCGCUCUGCGGCGCGUUCGGCGUCUGCAACCAGAGGAGCCAGCUGCCGUGCCGGUGCCCGCCCGGGUUCGCUCCGGCGUCGGAGAGGGACUGGGCGCUCAGUGACUGGAGCGGCGGGUGCCGCCGGAGCUCGCCGCUCGCGUGCGCGCACAACGGGUCGACGACGGACGGGUUCCUGGCACUGCCGGACGUGAAGCUCCCGGACGAGCCGCUCGCCAUGACCGCCGCCCAGAGCAAAGCGGAGUGUGAGUCGGCUUGCCAAAACAACUGUUCGUGCCAGGCCUACGCCUUCUCCGCCGGGGCCGGGGGUUGCUCCGUCUGGGACGGAGACAUCGGCAACCUUGAGCAGCUCUUCCCGGACUCCAGCGGCCCCGGGUCAGACUUUUAUCUCCGGCUUUCACAAAGAGCAUUGCAGGAUCUCCAUAGCGGACACGGGAAGAAAGGAGGGAGAAAACCAUGGCUUGUCUUUGGCAUCACGCUGGCCGGCGUAGCAGCAUUGGGCGCGUCGGUCGUACUGGCCUGGAGGGUUCUUCUUGCCUGGAGAAGACCGGCUGUGUACAUGGAGAACAAGAAUGGAUCCUCCUUGGCCGUGUACAGCUACGCCGACCUCCGUGCCGCCACCAACAACUUCUCGGAGCGGUUGGGCGGCGGAGGCUUCGGCUCGGUGUACCGCGGGGUUCUGAAGCAGCACAAGGGAGGCAGCACGACCCAAGUCCAGGUGGCGGUGAAGAAGCUGGAGAGUCUUGCGCGACAGGGCGACAAGCAGUUCCGGGCGGAGGUGAGCACGCUGGGGCUCAUCCAGCACGUGAACCUCGUCCGGCUCCUCGGGUUCUGCUCGUUGGGCGACGAGAAGAUGCUCGUGUACGAGUACAUGCCUAGAGGCUCCCUCACCGGCUCCUUUUUCGGCGGCGGUGCAUGCCCGAGCUGGCGCGACCGGUACUGUGUCAUGCUCGGGGUGGCGAGGGGGCUGACCUACCUGCACGACGGCUGCCGUGAGCGCAUCAUACACUGCGACAUCAAGCCGGAGAACAUCCUGCUAGACGAGGACAUGUCCCCGAGGAUCGCCGACUUCGGAAUGGCGAAGCUGGUGGGCAGGGAUUUCAGCCGCGCGCUGACGACGAUGCGAGGCACCAUGGGGUACCUCGCCCCAGAGUGGAUCUCCGGGCAGCCAAUCAGCGUCAAGGCGGACGUGUACAGCUAUGGCAUGGUGCUCUUCGAGCUCAUCUCGGGACGACGUAACUCCGAGAGGUACGGCGAGCUGGAGGCGACGUUAGGGACUGGGGCGAGGGAGUCCUUGACCUUCUUCCCAGUGUGGGCCGCGCAAAAGGUUGUGAAAGGACAGGUGGGCGCCGUGGCUGACCCGCGGCUGCACGGCGAGGUGAUGCCGGAGGAGCUAGAGCGGGCAUGCAGGGUGGCGUGCUGGUGCAUCCAAGACGAGGAGGCGCAUCGCCCAACCAUGGCGCAGGUGGUGCAAGCGCUGGAGGGCGCCAUCCACGUCCACGUGCCGCCGGUGCCGCGGGCACUGCAGCGCCUCGUCAUGUAA